AUAUAUUGUCAGAUUUCUUUAUUCUCUUAUUUAGGUGAUGAUAGCACCUUAAGAGUGAUGAUUAAUUUUUGGCUCUUGGUUUAUUUCUUUUACAUGCAGACUAAGACUUAAAGUAGCAGUAUCUAAAUCAAAACUCAGAUUUACCUUUGAAAUAUUAGGGCAAAGUCACAAAGCUUUCCAGGACUUCAGUGUCCUAUAUAUAAAAUGGAAAAAUGUUUCUUAAGAAUACUGUGGAGAAUGCCUAUUAAUGAGGGAUUUGUUCAUGCCAAAUAUUAAAUAUCAUUUCUAAAUAAUAGGAUUUGGUCAGAUUAUCUUAGCAUCUUUCUACUUGCAUCAAGUAAAAUUGCAAUAGUUUGAUCUGUAAAAAUUAAAGAGUAGAACUCAGUCUUUCAUGUAACUCCAUUUAGUGUUAGGGUAAAAGGAAAGCUAUCCUUGGGGAUGGAAAAUUCAGUGAUAAAGUAAGGAGGAGGAGGAAGUAAUAGCAUACAUUUCCUAAAUCAUGCAAAUUAUUGUGCUCAGAUAAUUCAGAGAGCCAAUUUUUUUGUCUCUCUCCAAAAGGAACGUACUUCAUAGCUGCAUUAAUUUAAAACACUAAAAUAACAGGGUGGCAGCACUCAGUAAGAAACCAGUGUGACUUUUGGCUGCAUUUCUGUUGCUGCUAAGUCCUUUUCAAAUAUUGUAAUUAAUUAUACUCUUUCUGCUAUUUAUUUUGCUUAUCCUAAUUUAUCCAUGCUAUUCCUUGAACUGCUGGUUCUAUACCCUUAGUAAGAAAGAAGAUGAGAAGAAAAUAGUUUGUGUCUUAUUGUGGAGAUUGCUAUUUCUUGCAUGAC
rnacentral:lncRNA from 1 species